UACGGGGGGGGCAAGCGUUGUUCGGGAUUACUGGGCGUAAAGGGCUCGUAGGCGGCCAACUAAGUCGGAUGUGAAAUCCCCAGGCUUAACUUGGGAACUGCAUCCGAUACUGGAUGGCUUGAAUCCGGGAGAGGGAUGCGGAAUUCCAGGUGUAGCGGUGAAAUGCGUAGAUAUCUGGAGGAACACCGGUGGCGAAGGCGGCAUCCUGGACCGGCAUUGACGCUGAUGAGCGAAAGCCAGGGGAGCAAACGGG
rnacentral:rRNA from 1 species